rnacentral:rRNA from 1 species
AGUGAACGCUGGCGGUAGGCCUAGCACAUGCAAGUCGAACGGCAGCACAGGAGAGCUUGCUCUCUAGGUGGCGAGUGGCGGACGGGUGAGGAAUACAUCGGAAUCUGCCCAGUCGUGGGGGAUAACGUAGGGAAACUUACGCUAAUACCGCAUACGACCUUCGGGUGAAAGAGGGGGAUCGCAAGACCUCUCGCGAUUGGAUGAGCCGAUGUCGGAUUAGCUAGUUAGCGGGGUAAUGGCCCACCAAGGCGACGAUCCGUAGCUGGUCUGAGAGGAUGAUCAGCCACACUGGAACUGAGACACGGUCCAGACUCCUACGGGAGGCAGCAGUGGGGAAUAUUGGACAAUGGGCGCAAGCCUGAUCCAGCCAUACCGCGUGGGUGAAGAAGGCCUUCGGGUUGUAAAGCCCUUUUGUUGGGAAAGAAAUCUUUCAGGCUAAUACCCUGGGAGGAUGACGGUACCCAAAGAAUAAGCACCGGCUAACUUCGUG